ACUCCAAGCUAGACCUGCUUAGCAUUUGCAAAUCGCACUUCGAUACCUACCACAUUCUAUAUUGUGAUGAAUUAUUGUUUAAGAGUUGACACGCAAUACGUGCAGACAGCUUGAGUCGCGGGGUAAUACCGUUUUCAUGAAAAUGUUUACUUCUAUGCAUACAUUUUUAAGCAUGAGACGCUGGAUGAUCCUUUAAAGCCGAUAAGAGGAACUCUCGGAGGUGCAUACAUUUAUUUGAUUGAACUAAUGUUUGACACCCGGGCCGAGCCCUACCCAUGCCAGACAAACUAUACGUACAAACAUGAUGUGUGGGAGAUUUUAACAACGGGCGCCAAGAUUUAAGAAAUUAAAAUGAAUGCCGUGUUACCACCACGAAUUUCUAAAGAAGGCUUGCAGCAUUGUGGUGUUGCAAACAAAGGUGAAUCCUUUCCAGACGAUAUUAAUAGUGAUCCAGAAAAAAAUAACGAAACAACUUCUGUGAGGUCCUCAUACGACGUUUCAAAUGAAAUUGAAACCUAUAUUAAAUCUGAUAGCUGUAGCCAUAUUGCAGAUCUGAUGAGCUCUAAAGCUAAACAGAAUUUUUGCAGAGCACCUAAAAGUGUACGAACAUUGAAUGAACGCUUUCAAGGCACAAUGAGUGAUCAUAACUAUUCAUGCCAAGGAGAAAUAAUGUGUAAUUUCGAAUUAGACAACAUUCGUGAUAUACUUCUUAAUAUCAUAAUACCUAAAGGUUACUCGAUAAAAGAGAUUCCAUGGGAUAUAAACUACUUUAUCGAAAACACAAUAAAAAGGUUGACAGAUUUAAAGCUUAAGUACGGAAAAAUACGAGUUAAAAACUUAAAACAAACAAAAACCUUAUCUAAAAACCCUAAAAAACGAAGUCUUCAAAAUUCAAAAAUUAACCAAAAUCAUUUAGAGCCAUUAAAAACUGAUCGCAAAGAUCAACAUCUUAAAAAUAUUAUUACAAAUCUGCGGUGUCAGAAAAAUGAAAAAAAUGAAAUUCUUAGAACCAUACCAUAUUCAGAUUUGAACUCAGUUGAGCAUAUGUUAAAAAAUCGACUUGAAAAUAAUUUCAACGCAAAAACACGACUCAUGUUAAAUUCAUCUGACUCAUCCCAAACAGACUUCGAGCUUAAAAGCGGCUUUUGCGAAAUAAAAAGUACUUCAUCAAAUAAAAGCAGUAAAACAUCGUGUUUAAUAUCGCUUUUACGUGAUUCUAUUGAAACGGAAAAAGCGUACCCACAUUUUUUUGACAAUAUUGAUUUAACUAAAUACAUUAAGCUAGAACUAAGUUUUCAACCCAUGGUUGAAAUUGGUAAGGAAGUUAAUAUGAAAAAAAAAUGUUGGAUAUCCGACAACAACACCGACAAAGAAAUUAAAAGAUUGGUGAACAUAAAAGCACUAAAUAAACGUCACAAGAGUAAACCUCACACUAUUAAACAACAAAAAAGUCAUGUUAAACAAAUUUCAAUGUCAAAAGAGAGCAGUGAUCCCAAAAAUGUGACGUGUAUCUUGGAUGAGAUAGACAAUUGUGAAAAAGACCAAUAUUUUGGAAGUGACAGUAAUAAUUUAACAGAAGGCGAAUUUUUAUCACGUUACAAUGAAAAAAUCAAGCACCAACUUUUAAAUGAUUCGAAUAGCGAUUCUAGACUAUCAAAACAAAGUAGCUACGAAUCUUUAAUGGAAUCGGAUUCAGCAGGUAAAGACAUUUCGACUAGUAUUGUAGAUAAGUUUCUGCAUGUAUUUAAAACUAAUAAAAGUCGAAAACCUGUAUUAAACAAUAAAAAGUUCUUUGAAGAAAGAGAAUCUGAAAAGUUGGAUAAUAUUAUGCCAGCAGGUGAUGUAGUGACAUCCAAUGUAAAUUCUUCUGAAAAACAGAAUAGCGAAUCAGAAAUGCCACAUCAACAAAAUGAAAUUAUACUAAGUUCUGAAAGCGAUUUUUCAGAUAAUGAAUAUGUUGGUUUACUAAAGGGAAGACUAAUUAAACCAAUGCUCCGAACGGAUCAACUCGCUCUGGAAACAAGAGAAGCGCAAAAAAAUGAAACCGAAAGAAUUCGGAGGCUAGAGAGGAAAAAUGCUGUUCUUUCAAAAGCAAUUAAAAAUAACUUAAAGUUUUUACAGAACUCUGAUCUCAUACUUGACUAUAUUGAAAAAACGAAAACAUUUAUCAAAGUGAAUGGGAAUCUUGUUAAGCUAUUAAAGCCUCAUCAGAAAGAUGGAGUUAAAUUUAUGUACGAUUCUUGUUAUGGCGGCAUUGAUCUAAACAAGGAAAAUUCUGGAUCUGGAUGUAUUUUGGCUCACUGCAUGGGCCUUGGAAAAACUCUUCAGUUAAUUACAUUGCUGCAUACGGUUACAUCUUACAAGGAACUAAGUACAUCAAAAAUUUUGAUACUAUGCCCAAAAAGCACAGUCAUGAACUGGGCUGACGAAUUUCAACAGUGGUUAUGUGCAAUAGGAGACAGUUACCGUAUAAAGGUUUUCGUAUUUCCUGAUUCCUCUGAUAUAUCCGAUAAAUUGACGUUACUAGAAGAUUGGUCAUUGUCUGCAAAGGAAAGUGCGGGUUGUUUGUUGAUCGGAUAUGAAGCUUUUCGUUCCCUUGUUUUCUAUCACUCAUAUAAAUGCCGAGGUAACCAGUCGAACAGAUUAGAAAGCAUUCGAGAUAAAGUAAAAAAAUAUCUACUUCAACCAGGUGCAGAUGUAGUAGUUUGCGAUGAAGGUCACAUUAUUAAAAACAGUCGAUCUGCCAUAAGUAUCGCAGUGGCCAAAGUAAAAACUACAAAACGUAUUAUAUUAACUGGAACCCCGAUUCAAAAUAAUCUUAAAGAAUAUUAUAGUAUGGUCAACUUUAUAAAGCCUUUGUAUCUUGGAACUGAGAGGGAAUUUGCCAAUUUAUACGCAAACCCAAUAAAAAAUGGUCAACAUAAAGAUUCCAGUAAAAAAGAUAUAACGGUCAUGAAACAGAGAUCGUACGUUUUACACAAGAAACUAUCUAAAUUUGUUCAGAGGAAAGAAGCACAGUUGCUAAAAUCAUUUUUACCGCAAAAGUUCGAAUAUGUUUUGUUCAUUCCCAUGACGUCAGUACAGAAUACUCUCUAUGAAUUUAUAUUGGAAGCAAUAGCGAGCCGUGGAGAUAGUCGCGGUAAAAGUCUCAUAACUGAUUAUACAGUCUUACGAAAGAUUUGGACUCAUCCAAAAGUUCUAGAGGACGCUUGGAAAAAUGCUAAUAAGCACAAAGCUAAGCGGCACUCAAAAAAAAUAUGUGGUCCAAAUUCCGAUGAAGAUCAACCAGAUGAUAUUUAUGACAGUCAAACUGGUGUUAUGUCUGUUAAAAAUGAUUGGUGGCGCAAGUAUCUAACAAAAAAAGAUUUAGAAACUAUUAUUCCAAGUAACAAACUACGCCUGAUGUUUUCAAUUCUUCGCAUGUGUGAGGAAAAAGGUGAAAAAUGCCUAAUCUUUUCUGCUUUUGUGGCUGUGCUUAAUGUGGUUGAAUACUUUUUCAAAAAAAUUUCUCAUUCUGAGCCCGAAAUAGUGCAUCUCGGUCAUACAACAGCAAAUCAGAAUCUUCCUAGUAAGUGGAUUAAUGGCCAAGACUACUAUAGAUUGGAUGGAAAAACUCCUAAAAAUAUUCGUCAUGAAAUGAUAAAAAGGUUUAAUAGCGAAGCAAACAAACGGGCGAGGGUUUUUUUAAUAUCAUCCAGAGCCGGCGGACAAGGCAUAAAUUUAAUAGGCGCGAACAGGGUAAUUAUUCUGGAUACCUCCUGGAACCCUUCAAAUGAUCAGCAAAAUAUUUUUCGAGUAUUUCGAUUGGGUCAGAAGAAAAACUGUUACAUUUAUCGCCUGAUUGCAAUGGGCACUAUGGAGGAAAAGGUUUACUCCCGAUCCGUCACCAAGCAAGCAAUGAGCUUCAGAGUUGUAGACGAACAGCAAAUAGACCGGCAUUACAAUAUGGCAGAGCUAGCCGAACUAUACACAUUGACGACUCCCCAAAACCACGAAAGAACAAUGCCGGUGCUUCCAAAGGACACAAUAUUAGCCGAUUUAUUGCGUCAAUCUGACCUUAUUUAUAAGUACCAUGAGCAUGACAGUCUGUUAGAAAAUAAAGUGGAGCAAGAAUUAAGUGAGCAAGAGAAAGCAGAUGCUUGGGAUACAUAUGAAAUGGACUUAAACAUACGUUGUGACCAACAGAAAGAGUUGGAAACUGAAAAGGCUCAACAGAUUGUACCAGAUCCUCGAUUGACAUCGUAUUUCGAAACCCUGCCAAAUAUUCACUCCCUACUAAGUUAUAAGCUUCAUUCAGAAUUCUUGACUACUCAUAGCAAUUAUACGCAAAAUAAAAAUUAUUUUGACAGCCUGAACUACAUCCAAACAUAUUCUGCACAACAAUUAUCUGAUAUAGAUCCUUACUUAAAGGAAAAAAUAGUUACUACGUCAAAUUUUGAUACAAACUCAAUUUUUACAUCUAAACAUAACGUUUCUGAUAAUAUACAAAAAUUAUGCAGAACACAACAAGUAGCUCCCGUGAUUUCUGAUAAGACUUAUGAUGGAGUGCUUUCUGCAAUUGAGCAGUAUAGACAAUUGCUUAGUAACCAUGGCUUUUUAAACUAUUCAAAUCAAAGCUAUAUGUCAGUAAGUGAAGAAACAAAAAAAAAGUGGUAAACCAUUUAACUGACGAAACCAAUAUAAAUACCAGAGAUGAUUAUCAACCUAACAUUCAUCUAUGUUCUGAAACUCUAGGACUUGCGAGAUCGACAGUUAUUUCAAAAAAUACAUGCAAUGAAAAAACAUGCAACAAUAUUAAGAACAUAAGCUCUGAGCAUAUAGCUACGCAUCACCAUAAAAAAUAUUAUGGUCCCCAUAAUAGGGAUGAUAUGCAAAAUUUCCCCACAUGCUUUUCCGGAACAAUUCCUAAACUGCCUAGCCAAGAAAGUACAACUGUAAAUGUAACGGAAACGAAAUCAUUGCUUGCAUCAGUUUUUUCUGAAACUACGACAAAGAACAAACAACGCCAACGUGAAAUGCCAAAGAAAAAAGCGGGUUUCACUAAGAAAAAAACAUCAAAAUGGGUAAAUGAAUCAAUAAUUGGUAGUAACCAUAGCACUUUAGACACGGAAAAAUGUAGAAAUGUUACUACUCUAGAAAUAGAAAAAGAAAUUGGACCAGCGGCAGUCGAAGUAAUCCAACCAAAUGUGGAGCGGCAAAUACACAACCACCAAUCGCAGCCUCUGGAAAACUAUGAAGACUAUUUGGACAAAAUUAUUUUUCAAGAGAACGAGUGUUUCAACCGAAAAACCAAAUUGAAGAGACCGAAAGAAGAUGAAAAGGACUACCAAAACUUAAAACGAAGCAAAUAAUGAUUCCUGUUCCAAUCAAAUGUAUUUGACAUUAAUAAAUAGUAAACAAAGCUCUUCAAAGCGCCCACAACCGCAA